CCUACGGGGGGCUGCAGUGGGGAAUAUUGCGCAAUGGGCGAAAGCCUGACGCAGCGACGCCGCGUGAGGGAUGAAGGUCUUCGGAUCGUAAACCUCUGUCAGCAGGGAAGAACGGUCAAUGUGCUAAUCAGCAGUGAAUUGACGGUACCUGCAAAGGAAGCACCGGCUAACUCCGUGCCAGCAGCCGCGGUAAUACGGAGGGUGCGAGCGUUAACCGGAAUUACUGGGCGUAAAGCGCUCGUAGGCGGUAUGUCAAGUCAAGGGUGAAAUCCCCGCGCUCAACGUGGGAACUGCCUUUGAAACUAGCAGACUGGAGUGUGUGAGAGGUUAGUGGAAUUCCAGGUGUAGGAGUGAAAUCCGUAGAUAUCUGGAGGAACAUCAGUGGCGAAGGCGACUAUCUGGCACAUAACUGACGCUGAGGAGCGAAAGCGUGGGUAGCAAACAGGAUUAGAUACCCUAGUAGUC
rnacentral:rRNA from 1 species